rnacentral:rRNA from 1 species
UAGUAUCGUUUAUUUGAUAGUACUUCACUACAUGGACAACUGUGGUAAUUCUAGAGCUAAUACAUGCUAAAAACCCCGACUUCGGAAGGGGUGUAUUUAUUAGAUAAAAAACCAACGCCCUCCGGGGCUCCUUGGUGAAUCAUAAUAACUUAACGAAUCGCAUGGCCUUGAGCCGGCGAUGGUUCAUUCAAAUUUCUGCCCUAUCAACUUUCGAUGGUAGGAUAGUGGCCUACCAUGGUCUCAACGGGUAACGGGGAAUUAGGGUUCGACUCCGGAGAGGGAGCCUGAGAAACGGCUACCACAUCCAAGGAAGGCAGCAGGCGCGCAAAUUACCCAAUCCCGACACGGGGAGGUAGUGACAAUAAAUACUGAUACAGGGCUCUUUCGGGUCUUGUAAUUGGAAUGAGUACAAUUUAAAUCCCUUAACGAGGAACAAUUGGAGGGCAAGUCUGGUGCCAGCAGCCGCGGUAAUUCCAGCUCCAAUAGCGUAUAUUAAAGUUGUUGCAGUUAAAAAGCUCGUAGUUGAACCUUGGGCCUGGCUGGCCGGUCCGCCUCACCGCGUGUACUGGUCCGGCCGGGCCUUUCCUUCUGGGGAACCGCAUGGCCUUCACUGGCCGUGUCGGGGAACCAGGACUUUUACUUUGAAAAAAUUAGAGUGUUCAAAGCAGGCCUUUGCUCGAAUACAUUAGCAUGGAAUAAUAGAAUAGGACGUGCGGUUCUAUUUUGUUGGUUUCUAGGACCGCCGUAAUGAUUAAUAGGGACAGUCGGGGGCAUCCGUAUUCAAUUGUCAGAGGUGAAAUUCUUGGAUUUAUUGAAGACGAACUACUGCGAAAGCAUUUGCCAAGGAUGUUUUCAUUAAUC